rnacentral:rRNA from 1 species
GUUGUGCCCUUGAGGCGUGGCUUCCGGAGCUAACGCGUUAAAUCGACCGCCUGGGGAGUACGGCCGCAAGGUUAAAACUCAAAUGAAUUGACGGGGGCCCGCACAAGCGGUGGAGCAUGUGGUUUAAUUCGAUGCAACGCGAAGAACCUUACCUGGUCUUGACAUCCACAGAACUUUCCAGAGAUGGAUUGGUGCCUUCGGGAACUGUGAGACAGGUGCUGCAUGGCUGUCGUCAGCUCGUGUUGUGAAAUGUUGGGUUAAGUCCCGCAACGAGCGCAACCCUUAUCCUUUGUUGCCAGCGGUUCGGCCGGGAACUCAAAGGAGACUGCCAGUGAUAAACUGGAGGAAGGUGGGGAUGACGUCAAGUCAUCAUGGCCCUUACGACCAGGGCUACACACGUGCUACAAUGGCAUAUACAAAGAGAAGCGACCUCGCGAGAGCAAGCGGACCUCAUAAAGUAUGUCGUAGUCCGGAUUGGAGUCUGCAACUCGACUCCAUGAAGUCGGAAUCGCUAGUAAUCGUAGAUCAGAAUGCUACGGUGAAUACGUUCCCGGGCCUUGUACACACCGCCCGUCACACCAUGGGAGUGGGUUGCAAAAGAAGUAGGUAGCUUAACCUUCGGGAGGGCGCUUACCACUUUGUGAUUCAUGACUGGGGUGAAGUCGUAACAAGGUAACCGUAGGGGAACCUGCGGUUGGAUCACCUCCUU